AUUUAAAUAAUUUAAUUAAAAUAUUGAUUUGUGGAAUCAAAAUUGUCUAGAAACUCAGACUUUAAAUU
rnacentral:tRNA from 1 species